UCUGCUUUGGAGGGACAAGGAAAUCCAUGAAAUCUAGCUGCUCUUAAGGGAAGCUAACAGAUAAUCCUGAAGAAAUUAAGACUUCAGAGAUUACAGGCCCUUGGCUUCACCAACAGCCAACUUCUUAGGUCAUGUGGAAUCUUUCCAUUUUCCACAAGGGAAAGGUUCUGCAUCAGAGAGAAACUGGACGGGGUGUUUAACAAAAUCACCACCUUCCAUGCCAUUGCUACUGAAAAAGGUUGCACACAACUCAGAAACAUGGAAAAGAGGGAACAAGUUGAAGAUGCUGCUGUCCUACUGCAGUGCCUAAAAACCCUUCCAAGAUCAGAGCAACAACCAGAGUUUGGAUUAAUGCCCAUCAUUUACCUUUGGAGUAGAAGGCUGACAAAAAGGCUCUGCACCAUGCGGGACUGAGUCGAGCCUCACAGAACCUCCCUUCUGAGAAGCUGAACCAAACCAUCCCCAAACUGCCAGCUGAUUACCUGGAACCCUCCUGGUGCAGAAGGUGCAAAUCAGGACUGCACGUGCAGCUAAGCCAAGCUCUAGGAGGUGAGAUGAAUUCCUUCUUCAAAGCAACAGCUCCCUUCAUCCCCUGCUUUUACUUCUCCAAGAGUCUAAGGCCUUCUCCAAAGGCCACUUUGACCUUCAGAAACUUGCCAACAUUCAGAGACAUCACGUAGCACUGGGAUCCUAGCAAAUCAGU